rnacentral:rRNA from 1 species
CUUUACUGUAGCCUGGAAUUGGGUUCGGGCUUUGCUUGCGCAGUAUAGGUGGGAGACGUUGAAGCAUUCCUUGUGGGGAGUGUGGAGUCAACAGUGAGAUACCACUCUAGCAAGGCUAGAAUUCUAACCCUCAGCCGUUAUCCGGCGAGGGAACAGUUUCAGGUGGGCAGUUUGACUGGGGCGGUCGCCUCCUAAAUGAUAACGGAGGCGCGCAAAGGUUCUCUCAGGCUGGUUGGAAAUCAGCCGUCGAGUGUAAAGGCAAAAGAGAGCUUGACUGCAAGAGCAACAACUCAAGCAGGGUGGAAACACGGCCUUAGUGAUCCGACGGUUCUGCGUGGAAGGGCCGUCGCUCAACGGAUAAAAGUUA